UCACGAUGUUUGUUAAUAGAUACUAUCAAUUGCUCAAAAGCAGUUGAAUAAUGAAUAUAUAAUUCAAUAGGAGUAGAUAAAUUAUAUAAUUUACAGAACUUUUUAUGUUAACUUUAUUGAGUUUUGUGUUAUCUCGGUGGUGUAAACAUCAAAAAGACAAGAGUGCAUUAAUCCAUUGUGAAACCAUUAAAUGUUUAUAAUAUUUUACCUGAGCCAAAUGUGGAAACAUGCAUACCAUAUGAGCUGUGUGGGAUAUAUUCAUAUCUUCUAAGGACUGAUUGGACAUACUGUGAUGGGAAGGUGUGAAAUAAGGAUUAUCUUGAUCCAUUAAUAUAUCUUGAUGUUCACCACCCAUGAGUCCCAGAGGAACAUCUCCAGUAGCCUGACCGGCCCCCAUCCAAACCAUGCCCAUGUCGGAUACACCGGGCAUUGUAUAAACUAUAAAGAAUCACCAAAAAAUUAUUUCAAAUCAUUUCUACAUUUAUGAAAGAAUACCAUAAAAAUUAAUUGUUUGAAUAUAAAAAAUACAAUAUUCAUACUCAA